GGGAACCUCACCAGGCCCGGACACCGGAAGGAUUGACAGAUUGAGAGCUCUUUCUCGAUUCGGUGGGUGGUGGUGCAUGGCCGUUCUUAGUUGGUGGAGUGAUUUGUCUGGUUAAUUCCGAUAACGAACGAGACUCUGUCCUGCUAAAUAGUUGGGUCGUCCUUCGUGCGAUCCAAGUUCUUCUUAGAGGGACUGGCUGCGUCUAGCAGCACGAGAUUGAGCAAUAA
rnacentral:rRNA from 1 species